ACAGGUGCUGCAUGGCUGUCGUCAGCUCGUGUCGUGAGAUGUUGGGUUAAGUCCGUAACGAGCGCAACCCUUGUCCUUAGUUACCAGCACGUUAUGGUGGGCACUCUAAGGAGACUGCCGGUGACAAACCGGAGGAAGGUGGGGAGUGACGUCAAGUCAUCAUGGCCCUUACGGCCUGGGCUACACACGUGCUACAAUGGUCGGUACAAAGGGUUGCCAAGCCGCGAGGUGGAGCUAAUCCCAUAAAACCGAUCGUAGUCCGGAUCGCAGUCUGCAACUCGACUGCGUGAAGUCGGAAUCGCUAGUAAUCGUGAAUCAGAAUGUCACGGUGAAUACGUUCCCGGGCCUU
rnacentral:rRNA from 1 species